AACGAACGCUGGCGGCAUGCCUAACACAUGCAAGUCGAACGAGACCUUCGGGUCUAGUGGCGCACGGGUGCGUAACGCGUGGGAACCUGCUCUUAGGUUCGGAAUAACUCCUCGAAAGGGGUGCUAAUACCGGAUAAUGUCUUUGGACCAAAGAUUUAUCGUUUUUGGAUGGGCCCGCGUUGGUUUAGCUUGUUGGUCGGGUAAAAGCCUACCAAGGCGACGAUUCAUAGCUGGUCUGAGCGGCGGACCAGCCAAACUGGGACUGAGACACGGCCCAGACUCCUACGAGGGGCAGGAGUGGGAAAUAGUGGACAAUGGGCGAGAGCCUGAUACAGCAAUGCCGCGUGAGUGAUGAAGGCAUUAGGGUUGUAAAGCUCUUUUACCCGGGAUGAUAAUGACAGUACCGGGAGAAUAAGCUCCGGCUAACUCCGUG
rnacentral:rRNA from 1 species